GAUGAACGCUGGCGGCGUGCCUAAUACAUGCAAGUCGAGCGAACGGACGAGAAGCUUGCUUUUCUGAUGUUAGCAGCGGACGGGUGAGUAACACGUGGAUAACCUACCUAUAAGACUGGGAUAACUUCGGGAAACCGGAGCUAAUACCGGAUAAUAUUUUGAACCACAUGGUUCAAAAGUGAAAGACGGUCUUGCUGUCACUUAUAGAUGGAUCCGCGCUGCAUUAGCUAGUUGGUAAGGUAACGGCUUACCAAGGCAACGAUGCAUAGCCGACCUGAGAGGGUGAUCGGCCACACUGGAACUGAGACACGGUCCAGACUCCUACGGGAGGCAGCAGUAGGGAAUCUUCCGCAAUGGGCGAAAGCCUGACGGAGCAACGCCGCGUGAGUGAUGAAGGUCUUCGGAUCGUAAAACUCUGUUAUUAGGGAAGAACAUAUGUGUAAGUAACUGUGCACAUCUUGACGGUACCUAAUCAGAAAGCCACGGCUAACUACGUG
rnacentral:rRNA from 1 species